UGGGGAAUAUUGCACAAUGGGCGCAAGCCUGAUGCAGCCAUGCCGCGUGUGUGAAGAAGGCCUUCGGGUUGUAAAGCACUUUCAGCGAGGAGGAAGGUGGUGAGCUUAAUACGCUCAUCAAUUGACGUUACUCGCAGAAGAAGCACCGGCUAACUCCGUGCCAGCAGCCGCGGUAAUACGGAGGGUGCAAGCGUUAAUCGGAAUUACUGGGCGUAAAGCGCACGCAGGCGGUUUGUUAAGUCAGAUGUGAAAUCCCCGGGCUCAACCUGGGAACUGCAUUUGAAAACUGGCAAGCUAGAGUCUCGUAGAGGGGGGUAGAAUUCCAGGUGUAGCGGUGAAAUGCGUAGAGAUCUGGAGGAAUACCGGUGGCGAAGGCGGCCCCCCUGGACGAAGACUGACGCUCAGGUGCGAAAAGCGUGGGGAGCAAAACAGGAUUAGAUACCCUGGUAGUCCACGCUGUAAAACGAUGUCGAUUUUGGAGGUUGUGCCCUUGAGGCGUGGCCACCGGAGCUAACGCGUUAAAUCGACCGCCUGGGGAGUACGGCCGCAAGGUUAAAAACUCAAAAUGAAUUGACGGGGUCAUAGCUGUUUCCU
rnacentral:rRNA from 1 species